rnacentral:lncRNA from 1 species
CUUUGGGCGAGCUCGUAAACAAGCCGCCGGGCUCUGAGCAGGCCUGAUUUGCAUUGCAGAUCCCUCUUGGCCGAGCUCUGCUCCCUUUGCCAGCCAGCAAUCGGGUAAAUAACACGCAUUGUUCUCGCUGCUUGUUUAUGCAAAUGCUUUCAGCAUGUUUGCUAUUCCUGAAUAAUUUCCGAGCCGGGGUGUCACGUCGCUAGAGUGCUUGUGUUUACUCGCUCUCCCUGCGUUAGUUAGCCAGGCUUUGGUGCCCGGGUCGUACUGCCAGUGAGGACCACAGAGGGGUUCACACCGUCCUUGCUUGCAGGAAGGCUUCCGGAUGGGUGUCUUUGGCCAUGGAGGGGAAGAGAGAGGAACAUCGGGUCCUGAGCCAUUGCUACCAACCUACAGAUGGAGGGCCAUCAGUAGGAAACUGUCCUGGACCGAUGGGUUGAAGACCCUCGUUGGAGAUCUUUCCACCUCUAUCUUCUGCUGAAUCCUGAAGUCUCUUGGAGUCACCUUUGCCCAUGUAGCAUCCUGCUGCAGCUCUCCUCACCACCGUGGCCAAAUGCUUCUUCACCUUCAGUGAACGUCUCUUCACAACCUCCCCCCAGCGCCAGGGCUGGAGCCACGUGCACGCGGCCCCCCGACUCUGUAGGGAGGCGAGGUGUUGGGCCAUCUCUCCCGCAUCUCCAAACGGCAGCCAGACACCAGGCCUUCUCCUGCUUUUGGCACACCUCCGCCCAUCGUCUUCGUGGCUCGCAUCUGAAACGAUCCCCCCCAUUCAAGGUGAUCCAAGAAGUGAUUGGAGCCGGUUCAGGGAAGCAGACUGGCGCUGUACGUCUCACCUCGCGCUGUCUCCUGACCACCUCCUUGUCGCAGCGAGCACCAGGAACGUGGACCUCCUGUCGCUGCGCUGCCACAGCUGCCUCUGCAUAGGCUCUGAAAACAGGGAAGCUCAUCCUGCUCUCACAGGGUCAUGAAUAAGGUAGGCUGGAAGGGGCCUUGGGGGUCCCCUGGUUCAUCCCCCUGCUCAAAGCCGGUUUGACCUCCAAGUCAGCUUGUGAACAGAGGAGGACCCCGAGUGACCGAUGGGCUGGGGGUGGGCACAUCAUUUCUUUUUUUUUUUUUUUUUUACUGCAAUCUUCUCCGCUAACAGGUGGACGCAAGCCACUCCUCGGGGUGCAAGCCUCUAAAAGAUGGGGAAAAAAGAUCACCUUAGCUUCCUGCAAAUAAGGUCACUUGUUUGACGCUAGGUGCAGAUGCAGCACUGAGCCGUGCGGUGGGUUCCCUGCCUCGCAGGCUGUGGCCGUGCCGCCUGCUCGGGUGCACCCAUCCCCGUUUUAACUGGCAUCCAGGAGAGCAGCAGCCACAAACCUUCUGCAAAAUAGAUGUUGUGCUCUGAGCUCUUCCCUGCCCUGACCCCUCUGCGCUUCGCCAGCAACGUAAAAUCAUUAUUUCUCAUUGCAUUUAAAUAGCUUGGAAAUUGGCUUUUCUCUUCGGCUAUCGCGCCGAGCUUGAAGCAAGGGGAGAGGGGUUAAGAUGAAACGACACCUUAUCUAUAGCAGCUGGGAUCCUUGGUGGAGGCUGCCCCAUGCCUCCACCCAGGCCACCCAAAAAUCCCUCCGUAUGCCCCUGUGGCA